UCUCUUUCUGGAGAUCCCCUCUUGGUGAAGUUUUCUACUGUGAACCUGGAAUCUUAUGAUACGGAUCCUUUAGUUUGGGGGGAAAAUACUAUGCUACAAGGAAGAAGGAGGCAUGUAUCCUUCAAGUGAACUUUAUUUUAUACUAUAUUUUGAGAGCUAUUUGGUGCUAGUUAGAGUCAAUGGCAUUCAGCAGUCUGUGUAGGAGAACUCCAAGAAUUGUACUUCUCUUGUAUUCUACAAAAGCUUCAAGCUGUAUAGAGUUGCACAGUCCUCUUUGCAGUGGGGAGAGCCAAAGCUCAUCAAUUAGCAAAGUAGAAAAAAAGGUAAACUUAAUGAAUUCUGGAAUGAAAAGGCACAUACGUUGAGAUAGUUGCAGCAGCAUAAUGUGAAAUGUGUGUUCAAUGUCUCUGAAUCUCCAUGGAUUUGGUGCUGCCAGAGAAGGUGUUAGAAUAAAAAUACGAUCUCUGUGUCUUUCUGCCCGCACUUGCUGAAAGAUCAAAACGGAGUUGGGUCCAUUUCUAUGUCAUCUGUUCCAUGAAGAUAUAGCCAUCUGGGAAAUUAGCAUAUAUAUUUUAUGAAGCAGAGCAGAGCUCCCUCUUGUACUGACUCAGAUGCUGAAGUCCCAGAUUCACAGUAUCCUGCCUAGCCAGCACAGCACAGCUUGUACAGCUUCUGUUACCAGUGGCUUACCUCUCCCCUGCAUGAAGAGCAAACCUACAUUGAAGUGAUGCUGGUAAAGCAGUACUUUUCUUUAAAGUGAGGAAAAAGGACAGUCCAGUUUUACAGCCAUGCAGUGAGGCAAUUUAUAAUGAUAGAAGAAUCAAUUCACCAGUGAAGCUGACAUUAUUUGAGGAGACAUUAUCAGUCACUGAUCAAAUAACUGUCUACUGGCAUUAGACACAUCUCCAGAUUGCUUUAUAUGGCUCUAUCUGUGGUUAUGACCAUGGAACACAGUUGACAUACAUCCUAGGAAAUGUAUAAAAGCCAAAUGAGAGCAUUAGUGCCAGGGUAAUUUAAGAUGCAAUAUAAAUUACCAUGGAAUGCAUAAGGAGUGAGCUACACUAAGGAGACACACCAAGGAGCAGCUCCUUAAUCUUUUAUACCUUCUAAGUGUGCUGGCAGAGAUGUGUUUGCACCAAAGCUAUUGUUGGAACAACAGAGUAAUGACUUUCUAGUACUAUGUUGUAGAUACUGGUACUGUUUCUUCCUUCUGGAUCUUUUUUCUUCUGUAGCAUUUUGAUUUUUUUUUUGCCUAUACAGAGCACAGAGACAAGGAGCCUGGAGUGCUAAGAUUCUGAUAACCAGUAUAUGUCUAUAGCUAUGGACUGGUAUAUUAGAAAGAUGUUUUUAUAGAACAGCUAGGUCCAGUUAAGAGAGGGAAAGGUGUCAGUGGAAAGAGAAAGCACUAGUGAAUAAUUUACACAAAUAAUCCACAGAAGAUAGGGCAAAAGCUGAGAUGGUUGCUCUAAAUGUAUAUGAAUAAUGGAAUGCAAUCAGGAGGGCAGAGUUUUUGAAGCUAAGGCUAGGGAUAGAUUGGUCUCUCUUUUCUCCUCUGUUUGCUUUCUAACAUAGAAGCAAAACUAAGCCUGCAUUAAAACUGCUGGUCCUAAAUUUCCAUUAUGAAUGCAUUCUGAACUACAUUCAGAUUAUAAUCUGUAUUUUACAGAUUAGUCUCUUUUUUUUAAACACAUUGUAAUGAAAUCUGUUGCCAAAUAUUCAGAAUCGCUGAAUGUGGAUUCAGAUACAGACUUUGAGAUUUGAAGUUACAGUCUAACUCUCAUUGUUCAGAUUUGCUGAAUAAUAAUGGGAACAUAUAGGGUUGUCUUAGAAAGCACAUAAGAAAAAACAAACAACAAAACCCUCCCCUAUAGCAUGUAUGCUGUUCAUCAGACAAUCAUGCACUAUUCCAAAACUUUAUGUAUCUCGCAAGUGCUGAAAAAUCAUUCACAGACUGCCUACACUAUUUAAUGUUGUUUUCUUCUGACUUCUGCCAGUUACUGACAUAUUAGUUUAACAUUAACUGACUCUCGUGAUCAAAAUAAAUAGAUGAACCACCUUCCUGGUCUACCCAAAUCUUUACAGGCAGAAACUGCUUUCUGACAUGGCUGGUGAAUGAUGCCAAGAGAAAUCUUUGAGAAUGGUAGAAACCUAUGAGGACUCUUGCAGAGCAUUUCCCUGGUCACUCUCCCACUCCAGGCACUUGUUGGUCUGGGUUUCCUGCACAAGUGAGUCUAUCCCUGUAGAAAUACAUCAUGGAGGAGGAAAAAGCAUCAGGAGGAAAAAAGCAAGAUCUAUUUUACAAGUUAAAUUGGCUCUAUACCAUGAUACCAAGGCACUCCACAUGAGGGCAGGGCUCUGUCUCAUUACAUUGCUGCAGCAGACAAUCUGAGCAUGCAUAAAGUCAAUUUACUUAGAAUUUUCACUGUCAGUAGUGUAACUCUGUUUUAAAUUGGUUAAGAGAUGGGAGACCUUUAUUUUGUUGCAUCUCAUUAAAUUUAAUUAUAGGUCAAUUUUUAAAGAAUGAUAUUCACUUUGGACUGUAUUUUCCCCAGUGUGUGGUUUAAAGAAGCCAUUAUUUUCCAUUAAUAUAACUAGCUAGAAAGGUACUGGAUGCAGUGGAGGGUGUUUUAAAUAAGAUGUUUUAAAUAAACCACUCCUU
ensembl:lncRNA